GAAUGCUGACAUAAGUAACGAUAAAGCGGGUGAAAAGCCCGCUCGCCGGAAGACCAAGGGUUCCUGUCCAACGUUAAUCGGGGCAGGGUGAGUCGACCCCUAAGGCGAGGCCGAAAGGCGUAGUCGAUGGGAAACAGGUUAAUAUUCCUGUACUUGGUGUUACUGCGAAGGGGGGACGGAGAAGGCUAUGUUGGCCGGGCGACGGUUGUCCCGGUUUAAGCGUGUAGGCUGGUUUUCCAGGCAAAUCCGGAAAAUCAAGGCUGAGGCGUGAUGACGAGGCACUACGGUGCUGAAGCGACAAAUGCCCUGCUUCCAGGAAAAGCCUCUAAGCAUCAGGUAACAUCAAAUCGUACCCCAAACCGACACAGGUGGUCAGGUAGAGAAUACCAAGGCGCUUGAGAGAACUCGGGUGAAGGAACUAGGCAAAAUGGUGCCGUAACUUCGGGAGAAGGCACGCUGAUAUGUAGGUGAAGCGACUUGCUCGUGGAGCUGAAAUCAGUCGAAGAUACCAGCUGGCUGCAACUGUUUAUUAAAAACACAGCACUGUGCAAACACGAAAGUGGACGUAUACGGUGUGACGCCUGCCCGGUGCCGGAAGGUUAAUUGAUGGGGUUAGCGGUAACGCGAAGCUCUUGAUCGAAGCCCCGGUAAACGGCGGCCGUAACUAUAACGGUCCUAAGGUAGCGAAAUUCCUUGUCGGGUAAGUUCCGACCUGCACGAAUGGCGUAAUGAUGGCCAGGCUGUCUCCACCCGAGACUCAGUGAAAUUGAACUCGCUGUGAAGAUGCAGUGUACCCGCGGCAAGACGGAAAGACCCCGUGAACCUUUACUAUAGCUUGACACUGAACAUUGAGCCUUGAUGUGUAGGAUAGGUGGGAGGCUUUGAAGUGUGGACGCCAGUCUGCAUGGAGCCGACCUUGAAAUACCACCCUUUAAUGUUUGAUGUUCUAACGUGGGCCCCUUACCGGGGUUGCGGACAGUGUCUGGUGGGUAGUUUGACUGGGGCGGUCUCCUCCUAAAGAGUAACGGAGGAGCACGAAGGUUGGCUAAUCCUGGUCGGACAUCAGGAGGUUAGUGCAAUGGCAUAAGCCAGCUUGACUGCGAGCGUGACGGCGCGAGCAGGUGCGAAAGCAGGUCAUAGUGAUCCGGUGGUUCUGAAUGGAAGGGCCAUCGCUCAACGGAUAAAAGGUACUCCGGGGAUAACAGGCUGAUACCGCCCAAGAGUUCAUAUCGACGGCGGUGUUUGGCACCUCGAUGUCGGCUCAUCACAUCCUGGGGCUGAAGUAGGUCCCAAGGGUAUGGCUGUUCGCCAUUUAAAGUGGUACGCGAGCUGGGUUUAGAACGUCGUGAGACAGUUCGGUCCCUAUCUGCCGUGGGCGCUGGAGAACUGAGGGGGGCUGCUCCUAGUACGAGAGGACCGGAGUGGACGCAUCACU
rnacentral:rRNA from 1 species